rnacentral:rRNA from 1 species
AGCGAACGCUGGCGGCAGGCCUAACACAUGCAAGUCGAACGAACCUUUCGGGGUUAGUGGCGGACGGGUGAGUAACACGUGGGAACGUGCCUUUAGGUUCGGAAUAACUCAGGGAAACUUGUUCUAAUACCGAAUGUGCCCUUCGGGGGAAAGAUUUAUCGCCUUUAGAGCGGCCCGCGUCUGAUUAGCUAGUUGGUUGAGGUAAUGGCUCACCAAGGCGACGAUCAGUAGCUGGUCCGAGAGGAUGAUCAGCCACAUUGGGACUGAGACACGGCCCAAACUCCUACGGGAGGCAGCAGUGGGGAAUCUUGCGCAAUGGGCGAAAGCCUGACGCAGCCAUGCCGCGUGAAUGAUGAAGGUCUUAGGAUUGUAAAAUUCUUUCACCGGGGACGAUAAUGACGGUACCCGGAGAAGAAGCCCCGGCUAACUUCGUG